ensembl:lncRNA
AAACUAUUCAUUUAAUUCACUUAAUAUUAGCUUGCACUUUGGGGGCACCUGGGUGGCUCAGUCACUUGAGCACCCUACUCUUGAUUUUGGCUCAGGUCAUGAUCUUGGGGCAUGAGAUCAAACCCUGCAUUGUGCUCCAUGCUGGGAGCAUGUAUUCUCUCUCCCUCUCCCUAUGCCCCUCCCCCCACUACAUACAUGCUCUCUCUCUUCCUCUCUCUAAAAAAACAAACAAAAUUAGCUUGCACUUUCCUCAAGCUUCUUUCACAAACUCACCUUGUUCCAGCUGUCAGUUAUAAAGGCUUUUCAUCCUCAUCUGGCCAUCGAUAACUCACAGGACCUCUCCUCAUUUGAUAUACCAGAAAAGUCUAAAUGCUUUAUCUCCCACCACAAACAAUAGGAUAUUCAAGGCCUUCUUUGGAUUCUGUGUCCUAAGGUGAAGCACCAGCAAACCCUCUAAUGUCAAGCUUCCUAUGGUGAAGGAGAGUGAAAGGUACUUGGGAUGAUGACUGGUUGUAGUCAGUGCAGAGAUGUCACAGAUUGGCAGUGAUUGAGAGAAAGAUACCAACAGACUCAGUGAAAUUCCCUUCAGAAUAAGCAAAAGAUAAGAAAUCGUAACUGCAUGAGACAUCCCUUCAAAUCUCAAAGGCUCAGCAAUUGCCCUUUUGGAGGGGCAGUGCCCUGGAACUUUGAUGCCCAUGGCGUUACGCUGCUGACUGAUCAGUGAAGGGAUCCUCUCUAGGCCUUAGAGAAGCUCUUCUAACCAUUCCCUCAGGGCUUUUGUGCUCUUCUGCCCUGCAGAAAUUCGAGGAUAGUGGCAUAUCGUGCAUAUUGGCCUUCCCAAGAGGCAUAAAUAACUGGUAACAAUCCUAGUAUAUGCCUGAGUGCUUUUUGCUGAAAGUUGGAUUUAUGGGAAAAUUCUCAAUAUUAAUUUCCUAGGAACACCAUUUCCUAAGCAGGCCAGAAGUCUCUGCCUAUAAGACAGGUGACAAAAAAAACAGCAAUAUCCCAGAGAGGAAGACUUGCAGUGUGACAAUUCAUGCUAAGUUUUUCAGUUUUGCCCUAGCUUCAUCAUGUUCUUUACUUUUUUUUACUUAAAACCUUUGCAAUCUAUUCUAUAACUUUUAUCACUUUGUCUUUACGAAAAAUAUCUCACCAAAAAAUGUACAAAACAUAUACAUACCAGUUAAGGAAUGAUUAUGAAGUGAAUACAUACAUACCCACUACUCUGCUUAAGAAAUUAUUCAUUUAAAAAAAAAAGUUAUUCAUUUUACCAUCUCUUCUUCACUCACCAAAACUGAGUACUGCUCUGAAUUUGGUUAUUUUCUUUUGGUUUUCUUUGUAUAAUUUAGUUUUGCCUGCUUCUGACCUUUAAAAAUAGAAUUAUGAUAUAUGUAUUGUUGUGGUUUGCCUCUCUUCAUCCAUAGGAGGUUAUCAUCAAUCAGAGCCCUGGUUUUAGCACUCAGCUGUGAUAUGUCUUAGAACUGAUAGCUUAGGCUGCUGCUUGCUUUAGUAAGGGAUUCUAUACACUAUGGCCUAAGAUGGAAGUUUUCAGAUUUGGUCCCUAACCAACACUUCCCUCAGGUUAGGGGUUUAGAGACCAAAUGUACCUUCUGACACGACCUGCACUGGAGUGUAGAACUGAAAUGAUGACGUAGAUAAUUCAGCAGUAAAUUUCAACAGUUUAGAAGAAUUAACUAUUUUUCUUCUGAUAUUGUAGCAGAAUCAGUAAAUCCAGAGACAGCAGAUUGGUAGUUGCCUGAGAUUGUAAAGAAGGGAAGAGUGGAAAGUUGUUGCUUAAUGUGUAGGAGGUUUUCUUUUGAGCUGUUGAAAAUGCUUUGGCUCUAGAGAAAGGUAGUGGAUGGGCAGCCCCAGUGGCCCGGCAGUUUAGCGCGCCUUCAGCCCGGGGUGUCCUCCCGGAGACCGGGGAUCAGGUCCUACCUCGGGUCCCACGUCAGGCUCCCUGCAUGGAGCCUGCUUCUCUCUCUCUCUGUCAUGAAUAAGUGGAUGAAAUAUUAAACACACACACACACGCAUAGUGGUUACACAACAUUGUGAAUGUACUAAACGACACUGAAUUGUAUACUUUAUUUUUUAAGUUUUUAUUUAAAUUCCAGUUAACAUAUAGUGUAAUAUUAGUUUUCAGUUGUACAAUUUAGUAAUUCAACACUUCCAUACCAACCUGCUGCUCGUCACAAGUGCCCUCCUGAAUUCCCAUCAGGCAUUUAAUCCAUCCGCCACCCACUUCCCCUCUGGUAACCAUCAGUUUGUUCUCUAUAGUUAAAAGCCUAUCUCUUGGUUUGCCUUUCUCUCUUUUUAUCCCUGUGCUAAUUUAUUUUGCUUUUUAAAUUCCACAUAUAUGAGUAAAAUUAUAUGGUAUUUGUCCUUCUCUGAGUGACUUAUUUCACUUAGCGUAAUAUAUUCUAGCUUUAUCCACGUUAUUGCAAAUGGCAAGAUUUCAUUCAUUUUUAUAGCUGCCUAAUAUUCCAGUGUGUGCUAUUUGCUUCGACGUGGAGGGUUCUGGAGGGUAUUGUGCUGAGUGAAAUAAAUCCAUCAGAAAAGGACA